rnacentral:rRNA from 1 species
UACGUAGGGGGCAAGCGUUGUCCGGAUUUAUUGGGCGUAAAGAGCGUGUAGGCGGCCAGGUAGGUCAGCUGUGAAAACUCGAGGCUCAACCUCGAGACGCCGGUUGAAACCAUCUGGCUAGAGUCCGGAAGAGGAGAGUGGAAUUCCUGGUGUAGCGGUGAAAUUCGUAGAUAUUGGGAAGAACACCGGUGGUGAAGGCGGCGACCUGGUCCGAUACUGACGCUGAGGCGCGAAAGCGUGGGGAGCAAACAGG